GAUGAACGCUGGCGGCGUGCCUAAUACAUGCAAGUCGAGCGAAUGGAUUAAGAGCUUGCUCUUAUGAAGUUAGCGGCGGACGGGUGAGUAACACGUGGGUAACCUGCCCAUAAGACUGGGAUAACUCCGGGAAACCGGGGCUAAUACCGGAUAACAUUUUGAACCGCAUGGUUCGAAAUUGAAAGGCGGCUUCGGCUGUCACUUAUGGAUGGACCCGCGUCGCAUUAGCUAGUUGGUGAGGUAACGGCUCACCAAGGCAACGAUGCGUAGCCGACCUGGGAGGGUGAUCGGCCACACUGGGACUGAGACCCGGCCCAGCCCCCUACGGGAGGCAGCAGUAGGGAAUCUUCCGCAAUGGACGAAAGUCUGACGGAGCAACGCCGCGUGAGUGAUGAAGGCUUUCGGGUCGUAAAACUCUGUUGUUAGGGAAGAACAAGUGCUAGUUGAAUAAGCUGGCACCUUGACGGUACCUAACCAGAAAGCCACGGCUAACUACGUGCCAGCAGCCGCCGUAA
rnacentral:rRNA from 1 species